UACGGGGGGGGCAAGCGUUGUUCGGAAUUACUGGGCGUAAAGGGCUCGUAGGCGGCCAACUAAGUCAGACGUGAAAUCCCUCGGCUUAACCGGGGAACUGCAUCUGAUACUGGAUGGCUUGAGUUCGGGAGAGGGAUGCGGAAUUCCAGGUGUAGCGGUGAAAUGCGUAGAUAUCGGGAGGAACAUCAGUGGCGAAGGCGGCCCUCUGGACCAGCACUGACGCUGCGGCACGAAAGCGUGGGGAGCAAACAGG
rnacentral:rRNA from 1 species